rnacentral:lncRNA from 1 species
AUCCACUACAUAAUCAUUCAUUAUCUUUACAAUUAACCAUUUAAAGCUACCACAGUUCUUCAAUCAAAGUAUAUAUCUACAUAUAUAGAAAGAGUACACUUCAUAAUUUCGUCUUUUGUUUUCCGUAAACGUAGCACGGAAAUUUGAUACCCAGUAUUGUAAGGCAGGUCGUAGAAGCAGUCUUCCUGCACAUAUUUAAAAAUAAUAGCAAGUCAGGAAAAUGAAGUAAAUAGGUCACUAGAGGCACUUAGUGCCAAAAUCAAUACACAAAGACAAUAGAGUUGCUACGUGGUACCAAUGUACACCAUAUUGCUCAUAAGCAGAAAAAGACAAAUAGGCAAUCGCAAUAUCAUAAAAAGGCAUACCAUGUUCUCUCACUAAUGCUUGGGAAUAAAGAAAAUUUUAGUUGGCUCAAGCAGGUUUUGAAGUGGUCCACAUGUGAAUACAGAUUAGUUAAAUUUUGACAUAAUUAUUAUUUUUAGGCCUACAAUUAAAGAGUUUGUUUUACUGGGACUAAAAGAGGUUUUAGUCUCCUAUGUACUAUAUAAUGAACAAAUUGGAAUUUGGAACAUCAUGUAUAAAAGAGGACUAAUAAAGUAACAAGGGACUUCAACACAAUCAGCAUUCUGGGAUAACAAAUUACCAAUUCUUCAAUACUUACCAAAAAUAUAUAUUAUCAGUUUUUCAAAAGUUUAUGGCAGAUUGACCCUUUUAUGCCCUAAGAUUUUUUAGGACUAAAUAACAACCAUGAAGAAUAUAGGAGCUUAGUAGUCCAUGACGUUACUAACCACACAUCGAUAAAUACUCCUUCCGUUUCCAAAUUAUUAUUGACUUUUAAAAAUCAAUUUGAGAUAUUUUUAAACUCAAAUGAUAACAUUCAUUAAAAUUUAUGAAAAUACAAUUCUUAUAAUUAGUAGUACCUUUUAAACUAGUUUACAAUAUUCAUCAUUGUACUGACUAAAAUUAAAUAAAUUUACCCGAGUAUGAAAAAAUGUCUCAAAUUGACUUCAAGAAGUCAAUAAUCUUAUAUUUAUUCCAAAUGGAGUAUUAAACUGAACAUUUUAAUACUAAAAAUAUUAAGAAGCCUCUUCAAAAAGAUGGAAAGAGUAUACCUCUGCAAACUUGGCUGCUAUCAAAACCCCUUCAAUACUGCAAGAAAAGUAUCAAAACCCAAUUUUACAAACAUGAAUAACAAAAGAUUUACUGGCAAAACUUAAAUUAAGCUACGAGUUACUCUAAAAGAUUAGUUUCAACUGCGCGCCUACCCUCACAAGUGAAUACAACUUAAUUAAAUAUUCCUAAUCAAGUUAACACUGAGAUGGGCACACAAGACAUGAAUGGAAAAGCUAGUCCAAGUAUAUUGAGAGAUGCUCACACAAAAUUAUCGUGCAAGGUACCGAUUUUAGGAUGAAUAGGAAAUCUAUUGAGUAAAUUCAAAGGUGAGUGUGAAGAUCUGCCAUUAAGAAAAGGAUAAUUCAAACAACUAACUCAAGCAAAGUAAAGAUAAUUAUAAAUAAACAGAUAAUUCCAACCUAUAUACAUUCCAAUUUCCUGUCUGCAAUUUCUCUGAAAUGGAAAGAGCAAAUUCAACAUUAAAAAGAAACAACAACAACAACAUAAUCUAUAGGAAAAGACCAAAUUCAUUUAUCAAUUGAGAAAACAUAACCAUAUUGAUAAGUCUAUGAAAACAAACAUAGAGCAAUAAGAGACAUUAAUAACUAAAGAUAUAUCACUCCAUCCUCAAAUGAAGCAAGGUCCAGUUUCUCAAGCAUUCGAAAAAUGAGAGUAUUUUCAAAAUAAAAAGUUUUGGUUAUUGUUCUUAACAGGUAAUAUCGGAUUCGGUUAUAAUAGAUAUGCUGGAUUCGGUUAUAAUAGAUAACUUCAUUAAGCUUUCAAUUCAGUAUGCCAAAUUUGUGGAAGUUGAGACUUGAAAUAUGCAACAAAAAACCAAGCAAUAACAAGUAAUAAACAACUUAGAAUAGAUCAACAAGCAUCAUAUGCAGCAACACACCAAGCAAUAACAACAUGAGUAGCAGCAGGAAAGUAAAAGGAGCCCAAGUAAACAAAUGGGAACCCAUAUCCAUAAAAAACUCAUAGCUAGUAAACAACUUAGAAUAGAUCAACAAGGCAAGAAAGAAAACCUAACAGACCACAUAACAAAUCCGAAAGGAACAUAUAUAGUUCAUAUAGUUCUAAAAAGAAACAUAUAUAAAAUUGAAUACAAGUAUAUGUCAUCAAAAGGAUAAAAAAAAUGAGGAUAAACAUGUGUAAAAGCUAACUGGAGUUGAUAUAUAAUUCUACACCUGAGUAAGUUUACCUUCAUUUCCAGAAUAGUGAGCUUCAAAUUUCUUGGCCCUAAUUCUAUUGUAUCAUUUUCAUUCCCUUCAGUUUUGUAUGACUUUUGCUUCACUGAAGUAACAGUUGCACUUGCAAAAUGUGACAAAUUGAACAAGCUACUUAGUACAGUGUAGACGAACAAAUGAUUUAUCUUCCAUGCAAAGACUUAAGAUAUGAAAAUUAUAUCGUUAACCUGCCCGCUUGGUAACUGAUACAACAUUAGUGCUGAAACCCAGAGGUGGAACAGAUGCUGUAAAUGCAAGUCAAUACUUGGGGUAACACUUGGAGAUCUUCCCAAAUAUGCAGUAGUGUAGAAGUUUCUGAUACCUAUAGAGGCACUAGCAAUAAGAAGAAGUUUGUAUUCAAUUACAUUGCCUUUUGAAUCUAAAGCUGAAACAUUCUCAUUGAUAACAUGUUAUACAUUUAUAAAGAAUCCUUUUAGAUUUAAUAUGUAUCUUGUCAAGUUAUACAGUGAAGCAAUGGGCAACAAUAAGGAGGAUACUUGAGGCCUGAGAGGUAAUAAAAGGUGGAAAAUAUCCCAUAGGACCCUUCUUUUCAGUUAGUCCACAAUUAGUUAACAAUCAUGACAGUGAGCCUAAUGAAUAUAUUACAGGAUAUACUAGAACCAUCCACUAGUUUUCUACAAGGGAAACAUAGAGAUUCUAAUUACUAAACAAACAUGUAUCUAAAUAAAAACAUAACUUUUCUUCACUUCUUGUGGUCAGAAGGAUGGUAACAAACUUUUUACACACACGACAUCACCCCUUCAUUCUUGUAAUGAAAUUUAAGAGGAGUUGAUUUAGAGUGGGGAAAGUGAAAUCAAUUUAAAAACAACUAUUUGGAACAAAUCCAUCGAAAUUAUAAAUUAAAAAAAAAAGAAAUUUAUGAGCUAUAAGUUUUUCAUUUUAUGGAACUCGUAUAGUAAGAAGCACAGCUCUUCAUAGAGACUUUAUUUGUUAUGGUUCCACAUUAAUCUAUUUAAAGUAAUUCCAAAAUAAGGUUCCAUACUGCUUAUAAUGUUUGAUAUUACCUAUCAAAAAGGUAACCUUUUUUUACUUAUUAAUAAAAAUGUAAAAAAUUUAUUAUUGAAUGCAUGGUUUGUACUCUGUUCAUACAAACAUUUGUGUAAUAUAUACUCCCUUUUCUCCAGUAAAAGGAGUCCUAUUUCCUUUAUAAUUUCUUUGGAUAUUACAGUGUUGGCCAUUACAUAUCAUCAAAUAUGAUAAAAACAUUUUGCUUACUUGGGCAUUAGUAUAUUGGGACAACAAACAUUUGAUAGAUAUAGGAGUUGAAGGAAUGAUAUUAAUUUAAUGUUCAAUAAUUAAUCUCUUGAAUAGAGUCUUGAAUAGCUAAUGGAUCCCUAAUCAACAAAUAGAUGAAGCCAAUUAUGUUAAUCAGUUAAUGUUUUUCCAUAUUUGAGUUUUAGACCACCAGAUAGAAGUUUUAUAGUCCUUAUAGUACACUUAUUAUAGUCAAAACAAUUCAAACUUUUAAUACAAAUUCAGUUCCAUAAUUUAAAUAUGAUGCUGUUCAGCCUUGUGAGAUAUUUAUCUUAAUAGAAUAUAAAAUACCCUGUGUUUACCCAAAAUUCUAGUUGAUUGUAUAGAAGAUGCUUGAAAGGGUAUAGAGGAAUGAAUCUGUGUAAACUAAGAAACAACUGAAAUAUAAAUAUGCUAUUUGACAUGUCCAACCGAUAUCCUAUCUCCAUUUUUAUUAGCAGAAAUACUCAUAUACUAUAACAAACCAAUAACCAAAUUGCAUUCUGACAACUCAUCUAUUUUUCUAUCAUUAAGCAUUUGUUAUGUGUCACUGAUAUAAUAAAGAAAAUAAGAAUUGUGAAAACAUAGAGAUCAAGUUGAAUGUAUUCAAAUAUCAACUUGAUCACUGCAUAGACCAGUUGCUUAUUCAUUAAUAUAAGUUCUUAAUCAUUUCUAUGCUAAAACACAUUGCUUAACCAACUAGACUUCAGCAUAUUUUAUAAGACAUACCAUCAACCACUCUAAUGAAGUAAAUGAGAAACAAAGAGGAUAGAUAUAAAAGAGUACAUAUAGGAUUUUUAAGGUAUAUAGGAUGGAUGAUUAUCAUCGAGGUCAAACUCCACUUUGGCUCCCACACAACAAUAUCAACAUCGUUCUCAACCGCGAUGGCACUUAUUUACCUGUUGCAGCUCACCAAAGUAUUUUCUAGCAUGUUCAAAUGUACGGCCAAAGUAAUUAAAUAAGAACGAAUAAUGUGGGGAGACAUUAUUUCCUUCUUUGGGCUAACAACAGCGCAGACAGGGAAAAAUAGAUCUACGGUUCCAUCAACCUUGGGCUUGGAAGAAAUCUAGCUGGAAGCCUAGAUAUAUCAAACAUCAUAAAUAAGCAAAAUCAAGUCAGAAAAUAACCAUUGAAUUCAAAAUCAACGUAUCACAGACGUAUAUAGAACAUAAGAUUCAAAAUUAAUUCAUCAAAACUAAAACUCUGUAAUAUCUGAACUAAGGUACCAUAAAGUAUCACAUAAAGUUCAGUAAAAUACAAGCAAAACUUAUACAGAGGCGGUGACAAUCAAAAACAAAUAAAGACCGAAUUCUUAUAAAAAAAACUAGGGUUAAGAUUCAUUAACCUUUACAAAUAACUGAUUCUGAGAGAAAACAUGAAAGUAGAAACGAUCUGAUGUGUAUACAAGAAGCUCAAUAGACGAUUUCAAGCUCUCUGCAAACAGGGCGAGAUCCAGGGGUUCGCCAAGAGGAGGAAGAGAGGAGAGAGGACCGGCUUGAACCCGAUAGAUGUUAUAUUAAAUUUAUUUUUCCUAUUUGUUUCGAUGCAAAUAAAGAG